AUUGAACGCUGGCGGCAUGCUUUACACAUGCAAGUCGAACGGUAACAGGGAGCUUGCUCCGCUGACGAGUGGCGAACGGGUGAGUAAUGCGUCGGAACGUGCCGAGUAGUGGGGGAUAACGCAUCGAAAGGUGUGCUAAUACCGCAUACGAACUGAGGUUGAAAGUGGGGGACCUUCGGGCCUCACGCUAUUCGAGCGGCCGACGUCUGAUUAGCUAGUUGGUGAGGUAUAGGCUCACCAAGGCGACGAUCAGUAGCGGGUCUGAGAGGAUGGUCCGCCACACUGGGACAGAGACACGGCCCAGACUCCUACGGGAGGCAGCAGUGGGGAAUUUUGGACAAUGGGCGCAAGCCUGAUCCAGCCAUGCCGCGUGUCUGAAGAAGGCCUUCGGGUUGUAAAGGACUUUUGUCCGGGAGCAAAUGCUGGUGGCUAACAUCCACCGGAGCUGAGAGUACCGGAAGAAUAAGCACCGGCUAACUACGUGCCAGCCGCCGCCGUAACAC
rnacentral:rRNA from 1 species